CCUACGGGAGGCUGCAGUGAGGAAUAUUGGUCAAUGGGCGCGAGCCUGAACCAGCCAAGUAGCGUGAAGGAUGACUGCCCUACGGGUUGUAAACAUCUUUUAUAAAGGAAUAAAGUGAGGCACGAGUGCCUUUUUGUAUGUACGUUAUGAAUAAGGAAAGGCUAACUCCGUGCCAGCAGCCGCGGUAAUACGGAGGAUCCGAGCGUUAUCCGGAUUGAUUGGGUUUAAAGGGAGCGUAGAUGGGUUGUUAAGUCAGUUGUGAAAGUUUGCGGCUCAACCGUAAAAUUGCAAUUGAUACUGGCAGCCUUGAGUACAGUUGAGGUAGGCGGAAUUCGUGGUGUAGCGGUGAAAUGCUUAGAUGUCACGAAGAACUCCGAUUGCGAAGGCAGCCUACUAAACUGCCACUGACAUUGAUGCUCGAAAGUGUGGGUAUCAAACAGGAUUAGAUACCCGGGUAGUC
rnacentral:rRNA from 1 species